UACGAAGGGGGCUAGCGUUGCUCGGAAUCACUGGGCGUAAAGCGCACGUAGGCGGCUUUUUAAGUCAGGGGUGAAAUCCUGGAGCCCAACUCCAGAACUGCCUUUGAUACUGAGAAGCUUGAGUCCGGGAGAGGUGAGUGGAACUGCGAGUGUAGAGGUGAAAUUCGUAGAUAUUCGCAAGAACACCAGUGGCGAAGGCGGCUCACUGGCCCGGUACUGACGCUGAGGUGCGAAAGCGUGGGGAGCAAACAGG
rnacentral:rRNA from 1 species